GCGCUUCCCUGAGCGAUGGGGACACAGGAUCAAGUGGAACCCCAGACCCAAGGCCUCGCUCCAAACGUCCUGCUGGAUGCAGGAACAUAUAAGAUCCUAAGGGCUUCUGAACCCCAACCAGGUCAGCCCAGAAUGGCUUCAGCCAACAUGCCCCAUGGAAGGGAAGAGGCGCCAAAGAUGGUGAAGCUCUAUACAGUUAGCAAAAACAAGACCGGGAGCUGACUGUGGCUCAGAUCAUGAACUCCUUGUUGCCAAACUCAGACUUAAUUUGAAGAAAGUAGGGGAAACCACUGGACCAUUCAGGUAUGACCUAAAUCAAAUCCC
ensembl:lncRNA